CGUGUUCGGGUCAAAGGAGGUCACGGUUCAUGUGUUUUGCCUCGUGCUUACGUGUGUACUGCGGAAGUUGCACCUCUUUUCGGAGUAGCUAAUUAGUCACGUCCUGAGAACCUUAUAUUCUUCCCGGUCUUUUUUUACAUACCCUUAAGGUUGCUAGAGCUUACGAUAAUGCAUUUAAGGUAGACAUAGCCAAACGGAAGAGCGGCAAGUUGUACAGUCUUCUUUAGCCUAUGACCUACUUUGCAGUAUACUUCUAUCGGGAAGAAUCAGCUGGCUUACGUAACAACGCAACAAGCCACGGAAACGUCUUGACAUCCAGACCUUAAAGAAGCCAUAGGCACUAAGGCCAAGAAUGGAGCAGACGACUUCGCCACCUAGCGGUUACACCUGUAAGCUCAGCGAAGAGGCCCUGAAAAAGGCACGAGAAGAACUGAACGAAGACCCGUCCACCAGGCUGGCUAUGGUAGAAGCUCUCAGGGAAAGGAUUAAGCAAAGUCCCGAUCUCUGUAUCCAAGACGACGACCACAUUCUUUUAAGGUUCCUUCGAGCAAGAUACUUCAACGUUGAACAAGCAUUCAAGUUAUUGGAGAAGUACCACAAAUGGCGAGCUCAGAGCCCGGAGAUCUGCAGUAACAUGCGCCCCUCCAGUGUACGCGGACUGCUAGAGGCGGGCUAUCAUGCCGCGCUACCGGGUAGGGACCAGGACGGCAGGAAGGUCAUGUUCUAUAGAAUAGGAAAAUGGGAUCCGUAUCAAUUUUCUGCGUACGAGGUUUUCAGAGUGAGCAUGAUCAGCUCGGAGAAGAUCAUCCAAGAGGAGGAUACCCAGGUCCAUGGGAUCGCUAUGAUUGCGGACCUGGCCGGACUCUCAUUUUCACAUGCCUAUCAAAUCGGACCGCGAGUCGCCAAAAAGAUUGGCUCAAUAACAACGGACGCAUUUCCCAUCCGGGUUAAGGAGAUUCACCUACUGAAUCAACCGAUGUUGUUUGAUGCCAUCUUCGCUAUCAUUAAGCCAUUUAUGUCCGAGAAAAUGAGAAACAGGAUACACCUUCACGGACCCAAGACAGAGACGCUUCUGCAGUAUGUGGACCGUGAUGCUUUGCCGCCGGAAUAUGGCGGAACUGGGCCCCCAUUGGACGAGGCGUGCCGACUGUGGACGGACACCCUGCUAGCCUGCGAGGACGAAUUCUCCGCCAUGUCUUAUUCUGGCCAGGAACUAGUCGCUAUAGAAGAAGAAGAAGAAGAAGAAGAAGAAGAAGUAGAAGAUGAAGAGGUUGAAGAGGCUGCCGAAGUGGAAGAGAGCUGAAUAUGACCUCUACAUAUCAGAAGACGUCUUACAUUCUUCCCAGCAUUCAUUGCAACACAUAUUCCACACAAUGUCAGAUCUGCAGGCGACCGUGUACAACAAGUGUAAUUGUUGACAAUUGUUACAAAUGAAAUAACAUGAAAUAUAUUUUUCUUUAUUUGCCCAUGUGUUAAAUUUUCAUGUGACUUAUUCGCUGAUGGACAAGCAAAAGGUUUGGGCACAAUAUUUGAAGGAAAUGUAUUUGCAUCAUUGUCCACCAGUGUGUAUGAUUUUCACACAAUGCAAAAAGUUGUACCGAAGUUUUUAAAGUCAGUUUCAUGGACUGUUAUAGUCUUUUGACAAUUCAAGCAAAGCAAAUUAAAUGAUCAAAUUCUAAGGGACCCUGCUCUGUCAAAGGUCACAACCCCAUCCGGUAUGUGUACUUUGGAACUUGUGUCGCAAGGAAUGCUGGGAAGUGUGUCAGACCUCCUCUGUCUACAGACAAAUGCAUUUCCUCCUUUAACUGCCGGGAAUAAAGAAUUAAGAGAAUGAAUACAGAGGGUUCGUGGAAAACAUAUGAAACGUUUUGAAACUCACCAAUUGAUAUCAGUCCACUGGGCUUUUUAGAUCUUCUUACAACAGUCUAGUUUACAAGAAAUAUUUUUGUAAUUUUUCAUCCGAGCCAUAGGUGGAGAAAGAAGUGUGUUACAGCCAUGUAAUUUGCCACUUUUAUGUUCGAGUGAUAAUGACCUAUUUGUACAUAUUGUAGAUAGAAAUAUGAGAUUUACAGAUUAAAUUUCUUUAUGAAUUGUGUAAAAAUAAAGAACUUACAAGUAA